rnacentral:lncRNA from 1 species
AAUCCUUCUUAAUAAAAAAACUUGCUUUACUAGCAGACAAUCCUUAGUAGCUUCAUCAAAGAAUAAGUUAAUUUUUUCUUCUCUGACUCACUGUAACCACAGACAGAAAAAUGGUUUGAGGUUCUGAUAGUGCCAUCUUGAACAAAUUACAUAUCUUUCCCUACUUCAUAAGAAAAGACCACAGUGAUUUUAGUGACAUACCACAUAGACCCAAAACUUCUUUAACCAGUUCUAGAGUUUGAUACAUUUUGGCAAACCAGGCAUCUGUCUGAAUGAACUGCAGAAUUCAUCUUUAUAUUGAUUCCAUUGAAGAUCUCAGUAUACAAUUCAACAAAACAAAAGACUUACCUGGAAACUUCAUAUUAUUCCAGACCUCAAUUCUACCAGAUUAAUAUGGGACUUAGAACGUCAUGUAAAAUGUAUAUUUUCUUGGAUAAAAUAAUCUUUAGAGAAUGAUAAAGAAUUUACUCUCACUUUAACACUUCAUUAACAUGUUAUCAAGACUCACAGCAGACUACAGGUCAAAGGUGGCUUCUGUUUGUAAAAUUCUUGCAGUAAGUGUCCAACUGUCCUUCACCUUUCUCAACCAGACAAGCUGCAAACUGUUUUUUAUCACUGCACUUGGGGUGAUACAUAUUGCUUGGACUCAGCAGCAGCAGAAGUUGCACAAAUUGUUCUUUCAUCAUGGCUGCUGUGGCUGCAGUCUUGGCUUUGGCUUCAGUGAUCCCAUAAGUAGAAGCAGAGAGCAGAGCUGGAGCUCUCUGAAAAGAUCCUUCCUCUGGAAAAGAGACACAAAAUCAGGAAGUGGGGAGUGCUGUCAGCCGAAGAGUAGCAAGGCAUGUCUCCUUUGUAAAGCUAUGACAUCCAUCUUCUCAGGAGAUGAACACUCACAGUUUAGAAAAAUCUGCUGCUGUUUUAAACUCUCCAUAUAGACAAAUGCAGUGAAAAUGGAAAAGGAAUGUGCAUCACACAACUUGUGUAUUGUAUCUUCUAGAUAACUGUAAACUCAGUGAAAUGCAGUGCAUGCAUCAAAAGCUUUGAUGGUAGGCUUUUCUCAUAUUCAACAAUGAAAAUGGGGGAAAAAAGCCUAAAAAUGUGACUGCAAGGACAAGUUCCCCCCCAAGUACAAAGUGCAGUGAUGGUGAUGUACAUGAAAGGAAUUAAAUCACUAUUUCAUCCCAUCAAUGGAAACCAGUGGUUGUCCUGAAAAUUUAUUUUACUGUGUUCUGGAAUGUUUCUAUCUGUGCACACAGGGUACAAAGGGAGGUGGCUUUAAUGGAAGAAAAACAUAACGUCAUCUGUAAUGUCACUCGUGAUCUUAAGAGUUGCCUUCAAACAGGAGAGUUGAUAUAAAGGAGCUAAUGGGUCCAUUCUACGACCCAUAAAGGGAGCGGAGGACAUUACAGCUGCUAGGCUCUCUGAGUUUGCCUGGCAGACUGAUUUUCAAGGCCCAAUUUUUCUGUGCUCUACGUCAUUUGAAAGUAGACUAUAAAUACCAGCUUUUCUGAAGUUAACAGAAGUUCUACUAUUGACUUUGAUGGCACCAAGAUUUCAUAAAUACAAUUGUUGUUUUUUCACUUGACUGAAGUGUUAUUUUUGCUUCAAAACGGAACCUUAACAUUGGUACCUUCAGCCCAUAAGAUCAUAUACAGAAUAUUGCUUUUAAUUGCUAGCCAUACACUGCCAGUUCCACAUCAUGUCAAUGAUCAGAGAAAUAAGUUCUGGUACAGCUAGUUAUUCUGCACAGAUCAUAAAUGCAUUCAGUAUGGCAGGAUCUUAUAGGAGAGGGAAUGUGUUUCAUUGGGCAAACUGCUAUAGUUGGAAAAGUGAUUGUGUUUUGAACCAUACAAGCCCUUCUUCUGCUCUAAUGAAAACAGAUAUUUCUCAUAUUGAAAGAACAAUACUACAGCUCUAUAAGACCGUAGCACAUGGGAAUGCAUUCAGGAAGGAGAUGUUACUUUCAAACAGUAGGAUAAAUAAAUCACUGAAGUUCUGUUGGAAGAAUAACCAGUGUAAAAUAAGCUUGUUUAAUAGCUUUACAAUUGGAGAAGCCUCAGACUGAAGUCUGUGAGCUGAAAAUUGGUGACCAUCUUAAACAGAGGCUACAUAUGAGAAAGAUUAACCAUUAAAUUAUUGGCUGCUAGGAGGUGCAGUCUGUAGAUCACAGACUUAAAGUUAUUGGAAUUUUCUUUUACAAACAGGCAGAGGAUGAGACAGAGGUGAGUUGGUUGCUACUGGCCCUAGUUAGCUCCAGUCCCCCAAGAAAACUGUCUGGAGUCCUAAGGACUGAGAGGCUCUUGGCAGCAGCAAUCAAUAUGAUGCAGUGCUCCUUUGAUUGCUAGACAAAAGUUCAGUGAUUAAACUUCAGAAUCUCAGAAUCAAAUGUUUUAGAAAUUUUGAUAGUGUGAAAAAGGAUUAACUGGAAAAACUGCAUUACAUUUAAACAACACAAGGAUUGGGAAGUAGGCUGGAAUGUAUCUGACUAAAUUUGAUUAAGACUGCACUUUCAGGCAACUCAUUUAUUUGUGUUGGGAUCAAUGUUUUAAGAGUCACAAUUUAAUUACAAAGCCACAAUUUAUGCUAAGCAUCUUUAUGCUGUUCUGUAUUACUCAUAAUGUGUGUAGCAUUUGAAUUCAUUUGACACCAACAUCAAUUUCUGAAAAUGCUCAUAUUCCCAAUUGCUUUCCAAUUGGAAGAGGAGAAUUUAUUACAUUACUUAUGCUAUGCUUUAAUAUUGUAUUUGUACAUCUGUAUCUACCAUCUUUUCUUCCUCACACUUCAGUGGGGUCUCAAUUAUUUUAAAGUAAUUUCCUAACUUUUACUAAAUCAAGGAGAAUUAUCUACAACCUCUAAACCCAGAAUGAAGUAAUUUAACCUGGCGGUUUCAUCACCCAUACCACACAUUUCAGAUCUACUUAUUUCUCAUUUGUUUGCCCUGAAACUAUAUCAUAAGGAGAAUGGCAAUUUCAAGGAAGCAAUAAAAUAAUAAUCAUAUCAAAAGUAAAAAUUAAAAUUUCAGUCUGUGCAUGCCAUAGAAGCGUUAUAAUGCUCAAUAUUGUCAUUUGAUUAUAUUGUAAAGUAAUUAUACUUAGAUUUUUUCCUCUUUCUUACCUUCCUAAUAUGCUGCUGAUAUCAAUUUUGUGGCAAGAGUAUAUAAUUAUCAAACAUGAUUUCCUACAAACUCAGGCUCAAAACGCCAUUUGGAUCUAUGUGAAUAACUCCACUGAAAUCCAUAGGCAGAUUUUAGCCCUGCUAUCAGUAGCUAUUCUGUUUUCACUAUCAGAUCCUAGGGUCAAUUCUUGCCAGCACUUUUGGGGUUCAUUUAGGAUCUUUUUAUUUCAUAUUCAUUGAUUUCAGUGCUUCCUGGAUUUUAUCACCUAAUUAAAAUUUCAACUAAUUUUUUGGGUGCUUUGAGGUCUUUGGGAUGAGGAUUGGGGAUUUUCAGAUGAAUUGGUUUCACAGUUUUUAAGGGCAGGAUAUGAGUUGCCUCCUGUUGGACUGAGAAUUUCUAACUUUCAUUUGUUCUGCAGAAAAAGUUUGGCAAAGUGGCAGUAUUAGCAGAUGGUGUGGAGUGGGACAAGAGACAGUCACCAUCAAGUCAUGAAUCUUUCUAUGUUGUUUCCAUGAAAAAAAGACUCAUAGCCAGCUGGGCUGCAAUAUCAAAAAAUCUCAAUUUAUAUACGUUCAGUGAGCAAUUGUGAAGAAGAAAAGAAGCAAAGGUGAGCAAAGAGAAGACAAUAAAGGAGACUGGAAGCACGGGAAGCCUUUAGAGUUGACAGCAGAUUUUGGGUAACUGUAGAAGACAGUGGAUGAGGCUAGUAGUAGUAUAGUACACAUAAAAGAACCACAUAUUGAUGAUUCUUCUAGUAAUUUUUCUUAAAACCUUCUUUAUAGGUAUUAAGAAUGAGGAAACCAGAGGAGUUAUGAAAAGGUCUACCGAGUUAACUAAUCUAAUGAAGACAUUAGGGAGAUCUUGUUCAGUGGCCAGAAUCUUUUUUUUUUUUCCUUUCUGACAAAGUAAUGAAGCUUUCUGCAUGGAAGAAAAUAAUGGCCCUAAGAACACAGAAUGACACCUUAUAAAAAGCAAGCUGACUUGCUUAAGAUGGAAGGAGGUCACCUCUGUGGUGCUUGAGUAUCUGAUGACCAUCCUCACUGAGCACACAGGGAAUCCCCAUGCCUAUCAAUAUAUCUCCCUAAAGUAUGAGCCCAUCUUUGCUCUAGACACAGAGGGACUGGAAGCUCCUGAAAGCGAUCUUGGGGUCAGUGCAGAUGUCUUUUUUUCAGUGCUCUGUACUUCUAUCCAGUGAACUCUCAUCAGUAAUCCUCACAUCUUAACUGCAGUAAACAUUGUCAGGAAGGAGAUAUGACAACCUGCCUCAAAAACCUUGGAAAUAAACACUGAAAGAUUUUCUUGGCUGCUGCAACAAAUAUAAACACUCAGACCUGUGGAAACAAAAAUGAUGCAAGGACCAGCCUUGUCAUCUUGACAGUAGUGAAGAACUAACUGCCUAGGGGAGUAGAACAGAUUCUCUCAGCAGCUUCUCUCUAAGCUGUUUGCAGAACUGGAAACCAAGCAUCUGAAAGACUCAGACAGGAUUACACUGUUUUUUCUGCUUGAUUCCCUACAGUACCCCAGAAGACAUCCCAUGGUGUUCUUACAUGCACAAACACCAAUCUCCCUAAGAAACCUUGCUGAAGACACAGGAGCAGCCACAUGAGAUUGGAAGGCAAAGAUGCUUAUUAUAAGAGACAAGGUUAUUACAUAACACCCAUCCUUGAAGUCAAAAACUGGUGGCAUAACGGCAAGAAUACCUAGUGUGCAUUCAUUAUUGUACAAGCCUGAAUGGCACAAUUCCAUCUUGGUAUUUUCUGUCGGUUUUGUUGUGAGGACUUGUGAUUACAUAAUCUGCUAUGAUCAUGCUAAAACUAGAUAUCCAACUAAAUCAAUAAAAUGUUCUCUUUUGAGCCAGAAGUUUUCCAUUGCUAAUUUCUGCUGCUUCUUUUCUCUAUUGUCCUAAUUUUCCCAAAAGCUAAUUAUUUGUAAAUUCCAUUAAAACAGUGUUCAGUGAGGUUACUGAAUUUGUUUCACUAUUAGCAAUGUUACAGUUAUAGGUUUUACAAUUAUUCCAAUACAAUGACUGUGACACAGAGUCAGGUAGACUAAAAUAACUGUGAAAGAGACUAAAUGGUUACCAACAGUAGUUUAAAAUUUGUUUAAAUGCAUCUGUGAUUUUGUUUGUAGAAGAUAACAUUAAAAGCAUACAAGAAAAAGAUAAGCAUUAGCAUGAUUUAAUUUCAUGGUAUUUAUGAAUGUACAUCUUUGCAAUUGUUGAUAUUAAUAUCCAAGAGGCCUGAGUUCCCAUAGACUGAAAUGAUCUAUGAUGAUUUAUGGCAGCUGUUAACAUCAUGGCACUAAAUUCCUAUCUGGAUUUCAGUUCAAAACUUGACUCAGUGUCAUAACUUUGAUAACUCAUAUGCAUGGCUUAAUUCAUUUUCUGAUAUCAUGUUACUGUCUUAUUGUCAUUACUUCUCUGUGGCAAAGCAAUCACAUGUUCAAAAAGAAACUGAAAUGGUGUCAUCAAGAACUAUCCUAGCAUAUUUUUCCAAAUUUGUAUAGAAAGUAAUUUUGAUAACCUGCUUUGACAGAAGCAAUAAUGUUUUAUUGUAUGAUUUCAUCUACAGAUGCUGUCAAAGAACAAUAUUCCACCACAUGGACUCAAACGUUUCUCUUGAAAGAAAACCAUUUGAUUUCAAUGGGACUUGAUGUUACAGUUCAACAUGAAUAAAGGUGUCAAAAUAUGGCCUAGACUCAUUAUCCACAUCUCUUAAACCUCAGAAAAGCAAUGAGACACUCAGAUUCAUGGAUAACACCUGGAAUGACAUUCCUAUCUUAACCCAUUCCGUCUGUCUGAAAGUUAGUAAUAACAUGUGCAUGGCAUGUCACCAGGCUCAUAAAUGCAGUCACAAUAGUUUGAAUUUUCAGAACAAAUAUCUGCCUUUGCUCUAUUUUAUUCCCCCUGUGGUUUGAAGCCAGCUUCUUAAAAUAUUGUUUAAUAUGUUU